rnacentral:rRNA from 1 species
AGUAAAAGUCGUAACAAGGUUUCCGUAGGUGAACCUGCGGAAGGAUCAUUAUCGAGUUUUGAACGGGUUGUAGCUGGCCUCUCACGAGGCAUGUGCACGCCUGGCUCAUCCACUCUUAACCUCUGUGCACUUUAUGUAAGAGAAAAAAAUGGUGGAAGCUUCCAGGAUCUCGCGAGAGGUCUUUGGUUGAACAAGCCGUCUUUCUUUCUUAUGUUUUACUACAAACGCUUCAGUUAUAGAAUGUCAACUGUGUAUAACACAUUUAUAUACAACUUUCAGCAACGGAUCUCUUGGCUCUCGCAUCGAUGAAGAACGCAGCGAAAUGCGAUAAGUAAUGUGAAUUGCAGAAUUCAGUGAAUCAUCGAAUCUUUGAACGCACCUUGCACUCCUUGGUAUUCCGAGGAGUAUGCCUGUUUGAGUCUCAUGGUAUUCUCAACCCCUAAAUUUUUGUAACGAAGGUUUAGCGGGCUUGGACUUGGAGGUUGUGUCGGCCCUUGUCGGUUGACUCCUCUGAAAUGCAUUAGCGUGAAUCUUACGGAUCGCCUUCAGUGUGAUAAUUAUCUGCGCUGUGGUGUUGAAGUAUUUAUGGUGUUCAUGCUUCGAACCGUCUCCUUGCCGAGACAAUCAUUUGACAAAUCUGAGCUCAAAUCAGGUAGGACUACCCGCUGAACUUAA